CCUACGGGGGGCAGCAGUGGGGAAUAUUGGACAAUGGGGGGAACCCUGAUCCAGCCAUGCCGCGUGUGUGAAGAAGGCCCUCGGGUUGUAAAGCACUUUCAGUGAGGAAGAACGCCUGGUGGUUAAUACCCAUCAGGAAAGACAUCACUCACAGAAGAAGCACCGGCUAACUCCGUGCCAGCAGCCGCGGUAAUACGGAGGGUGCGAGCGUUAAUCGGAAUUACUGGGCGUAAAGCGCGCGUAGGUGGCUUGAUAAGCCGGUUGUGAAAGCCCCGGGCUCAACCUGGGAACGGCAUCCGGAACUGUCAAGCUAGAGUGCAGGAGAGGAAGGUAGAAGUCCCGGUGUAGCGGUGAAAUGCGUAGAGAUCGGGAGGAAUACCAGUGGCGAAGGCGGCCUUCUGGACUGACACUGACACUGAGGUGCGAAAGCGUGGGUAGCAAACAGGAUUAGAUACCCCGGUAGUC
rnacentral:rRNA from 1 species